rnacentral:sRNA from 2 species
UAUCAUCAGAGUCUUCAGAAUCCCCCGAAGCGCCAGAAUCGCCGUCCUCCGUGUCGAACUCGGGGUUUGACACGUCCUCGCUGACAUCAGGCGCGCCUGCUGAUAUCACUCCGUUCUCCGUAGCGACAUCGACCACCUUCACCACGGCAGAUUUCAAGGGAAGCUCCUCUUUCGCCAGCACCGGCGCGACAUCCAUCUCGACAAGAAGGACGACGAGACCCAACCAGAAGUAAGCUCCGCUCCGGUAGCUUACAUUGGUGGAGGUUGUUGUGAGAAGGCCGUCGUGUGUCGCAGUUUGACCAUGAAAAGUAUUAAUAAUACCAAUAUUUCCGAGGUGUUCGGAAGUUUAUGAUAAUCCGGCCA